rnacentral:rRNA from 1 species
UACAGAGGGUGCGAGCGUUAAUCGGAAUUACUGGGCGUAAAGCGUGCGUAGACGGUUAUCUAAGUCGGAUGUGAAAGCCCCGGGCUCAACCUGGGAAUUGCAUUCGAGACUGAAUAGCUAGGGUACGGUAGAGGGAAGUGGAAUUUCCGGUGUAGCGGUGAAAUGCGUAGAUAUCGGAAGGAACACCAACGGCGAAGGCAGCUCGCUGGGACGGUACUGACGCUGAGG